AUUGAACGCUGGCGGAAUGCUUUACACAUGCAAGUCGAACGGCAGCACGGGAGCUUGCUCCUGGUGGCGAGUGGCGAACGGGUGAGUAACAUAUCGGAACGUACCCAGUAAUGGGGAGUAACUAGUCGAAAGAUUAGCUAAUACCGCAUACGCCCUGAGGGGUGAAAGCGGGGAUCGGUAAGACCUCGCGUUAUUGGAGCGGCCGAUAUCUGAUUAGCUAGUUGGUGGGGUAAAGGCCUACCAAGGCGACGAUCAGUAGCUGGUCUGAGAGGACGACCAGCCACACUGGAACUGAGACACGGUCCAGACUCCUACGGGAGGCAGCAGUGGGGAAUUUUGGACAAUGGGCGCAAGCCUGAUCCAGCCAUCCGCGUGAGUGAAGAAGGCCUCGGUUGUAAGCUCUUCGCAAGGGAAGAAACGAUGCAGCUUAAUAAGCUGCGUUAAUGACGGUACCUUGAUAAGAAGCACCGGCUAACUACGUGCCAAGCAGCCGCGGUAAUACGUAGGGUGCGAGCGUUAAUCGGAAUACU
rnacentral:rRNA from 1 species